CUGUGAUCCAAAAGAAGGCAAAUGCAUUCCCCGAGCCAUCACUUUUACGAGUAAAUCGCUCCCAAGAGCGCUUAGGAAACACACCAUGGGUGACAUAUGCACUCACUUUCGCCGCACCAUGAGCCACUAACACUUUCUGACACUCAAUAAGGGUGCCUCCAGAUUGCACCAAAUCAUCAACAAUGACUACGUGACAACCAGCAGGAUUCCCCUCCUUUAGUCGAACUAUCCUCUUAUCACCUUCACGAACCUUUGUGCACACCACCAUGGGAAAAUGAUCCAACAGCUUGUGGAAUCGUUUCCAAGCUCCAUCAUCUGGAAACGCAACAACAAUCUUAUCAGAGUCAGGAAGCUGGUGAAGACGUUGCUUUAGCAGAGGGAUCCCAGUCUCAAACAAAGGCAAAACAUGGUCCCCAAAAUAAAAUCUUUCCUGUAGAGCAUGUAUGUCAUAAAUGACUAGACUAGUGGGACCACCCCUUGAUAUGGGAAUGUUUGAAAGUAUCCUUGCCAUGGUAAAUGCAGUUGCAACAUCCCCCUCUUCUUCCAUUCGCUCAAAGGAGCCAGUUGGAAAGAAUGGCAAAACCAAAGUGAACGAGGCAACAAACAGCCGUGGGAGCGCAUAUAUGACAGAAAGUUGUUCAAAGAUGACUCCUGGGGAACUGAAUGCCGCAAGAAAGGCUACAUGUUGACCUCGCAUUUCUUGUGCAUUGUUUAUAUAAAGGUUUGGAAACCCAUCAUCAAAAUUCCUCCAGUUGAUGGAUUGAAGAGUGAUGAGGUCAGAGUGAGCAGCAACUUUACGGGCAAGGUCUUCACAGUCUGCACAGUAAAAGAGAUGCACUUGCUUCUUGUGAUGCUGAGUUUGAAUGUCUGCCUUCUUUUCCAUUUCCUUGUCUCUCUUGCUCGGCCCCAACAAUACUCUCUUCUUAGUGGGAAGAAACCCUAGACUAACAAAAUUGUUGAAACAAAAAAUAACUUGGCAACUGCCGAGAGCUGGAAGGAGAGUCCCGCAGAGUAAAGGUUAAACCGUCAGAGAGGCGAGACUAAGAGAGGGCAGAGACAAGGCCUCGACAGCUGCAGAGAGGAAGAGACGAAGCUGCGACAGGAUGUCGUAGAUGCAAGAGAUGCUGCUCGAAGCGAGAGGCAAGGCUGCAAGAAGAAGAGGCGAGGCGACUGGGAAAAGAAGCGUAGAGAGUCUCUGUCUGGACCAUGAAUUGGGUCCUUU
rnacentral:misc_RNA from 1 species